rnacentral:rRNA from 1 species
CCUACGGGAGGCAGCAGUGGGGAAUAUUGCACAAUGGGGGAAACCCUGAUGCAGCGACGCCGCGUGGGUGAAGAAGCGCCUCGGCGCGUAAAGCCCUGUCAGCAGGGAAGAAAAUGACGGUACCUGACGAAGAAGCCCCGGCUAACUACGUGCCAGCAGCCGCGGUAAUACGUAGGGGGCAAGCGUUAUCCGGAUUUACUGGGUGUAAAGGGGGCGCAGACGGCGAUGCAAGCCAGGAGUGAAAGCCCGGGGCCCAACCCCGGGACUGCUCUUGGAACUGCGUGGCUGGAGUGCAGGAGGGGCAGGCGGAAUUCCUGGUGUAGCGGUGAAAUGCGUAGAUAUCAGGAGGAACACCGGUGGCGAAGGCGGCCUGCUGGACUGCAACUGACGUUGAGGCCCGAAAGCGUGGGGAGCAAACAGGAUUAGAUACCCGUGUAGUC